CUAGCUCAUCCUGUAGAAUCCAGGGCUACAAUGCAGUACAAUAAUGUAAUGUCUAUGGGGUAGCAGCUCAUGAUCCCAGUGAGCCAAAAAAAAAAGGGAACAAGAAAAUGGAUUUGUAAAGAGUCUGUUUUCGUGACUCAAAUCAUACCAUUAAACUGAAGUUACCGCCUUCAUGAUCCCAAGGAUAUAGCGGAAAAAUGGAAGAAAAUGAAAAAUAAGAAUACAAAAGAUGGGGAUCAGGGAGUCAUCAAAAUUAUAAAAGAUGUAUGCAUACAAAGGUUUAAAAGGAAUUAAUGUGUAGGAUCGAGAGAAAAAGGGUGUUUAGUAGAAUUGUGGAAACUGGAAAUGAGAUCAGGAAGUUGCAUGUAAUGGGCAGAGGGAUUACUGGUCUUAAGCAGGUGAAGAAGGUACUGGAAGAGGUGGAUAUCACAGGCAAUCCUGAGUGCUCCAUCGUAGGAAUAACCAAACUCUUCCUCGGAGAUACGAAGCAGGUCCUCAAACAGAGGAUGAUUGAGGUAAUUGGCUUCCAUCUGAAACUUGCAUUGGAAUUGGAUGUCUUUCCCAACGUAGACUCUAAUGUGGCCUUCUGGGACAUCUACUGAUCUCUCCGACUCUGAAAGGAGGCUCUUUGCUCCACAGCACCAUAGCUUUCUCACGAUUGCACUCAUUCUCUUUUAAGUACUGGAUUGCUUUGCUUGAUUGGUUUUUGGGUAAUGAGUAG
rnacentral:misc_RNA from 1 species